UACGUAGGGGGCAAGCGUUGUCCGGAUUUAUUGGGCGUAAAGAGCGUGUAGGCGGCCAAGCAGGUCAGCUGUGAAAACUCGAGGCUCAACCUCGAGACGUCGGUUGAAACCGCUUGGCUAGAGUCCGGAAGAGGAGAGUGGAAGUUCCCGGUGUAGCGGUGAAAUGCGCAGAUAUCGGGAAGAACACCCGUGGCGAAGGCGGCUCUCUGGGACGGUACUGACGCUGAGACGCGAAAGCGUGGGGAGCGAACAGG
rnacentral:rRNA from 1 species